rnacentral:rRNA from 1 species
GGUCAAGCUACAAAGGGCUCACGGCGGAUACCUUGGCACACAGAGGCGAUGAAGGACGUGGUUACCUGCGAUAAGUCUCGGGGAGCUGGAAGCACGCUUUGAUCCGGGAAUUUCCGAAUGGGGCAACC